rnacentral:rRNA from 1 species
AAAGUAACAAGGUCUCCGUUGGUGAACCAGCGGAGGGAUCAUUACCGAGUUUACAACUCCCAAACCCCUGUGAACAUACCUAUACGUUGCCUCGGCGGAUCAGCCCGCGCCCCGUAAAAAGGGACGGCCCGCCCGAGGACCCCUAAACUCUGUUUUUAGUGGAACUUCUGAGUAAAACAAACAAAUAAAUCAAAACUUUCAACAACGGAUCUCUUGGUUCUGGCAUCGAUGAAGAACGCAGCAAAAUGCGAUAAGUAAUGUGAAUUGCAGAAUUCAGUGAAUCAUCGAAUCUUUGAACGCACAUUGCGCCCGCCAGUAUUCUGGCGGGCAUGCCUGUUCGAGCGUCAUUUCAACCCUCAAGCUCAGCUUGGUGUUGGGACUCGCGGUAACCCGCGUUCCCCAAAUCGAUUGGCGGUCACGUCGAGCUUCCAUAGCGUAGUAAUCAUACACCUCGUUACUGGUAAUCGUCGCGGCCACGCCGUAAAACCCCAACUUCUGAAUGUGACCUCGAUCAGUAGAA